rnacentral:rRNA from 1 species
GAUGAACGCUGGCGGCGUGCCUAAUACAUGCGAGUCGAACGAAGAGACGAGGAGCUUGCGGCGCUGAAGUUAGCAACGGGCGGGUAACUAACACGUAAAUAACCUACCUAUAUGGCUGAGAUCACGUCGAGAGAGCGGAGCAAAUACCAGAUAAGAUGAUGAAACGGAGGGUGCAGGAGUGAAAUACGGUCUUUGGGUCGCUUAUAGAUGGAUCCGCGGGGCAUUAGGGAGUUGGUAAGGUAACGGCACGCCAAGGCACCGAUGGGUAGCCGGCCUGAGAGGGUGACCGGCCACACUGGGACUGAGAGACGGCCCAGACUCCUACGGGAGGCAGCAGUGGGGAAUAUUGCACAAUGGGCGAAAGCCUGAUGCAGCGACGCCGCGUGAGGGAUGACGGCCUUCGGGUUGUAAACCUCUUUCAGUAGGGAAGAAGCGAAAGUGACGGUACCUGCAGAAGAAGCACCGGCUAACUACGUG